rnacentral:rRNA from 1 species
GGAUCAUUAUCGAAACAGAACAGGAAAGGAUGGCGGGCAGAGAUCUGACCCAACACUUUUGAUUAGAUUCCGAUUAGAAUCCAUGUUCGAAAGGGAUCGAAAAAAAAAGUAAAGUAAAGUAAAGGGAAAGACUUUGCCUUCUUGAUUUUCCUAUUCAUUACCCACACCUGUGCACCUUUUGUAGGUGUCCCUCUCGAAAGGGAGGGCAUCUAUGUCUUCAUCAUAUCACACACAAUGUAUGGCCAGAAUGUCAAUCAUGAAAUAUAAAAUACAACUUUCAGCAACGGAUCUCUUGGCUCUCGCAUCGAUGAAGAACGCAGCGAAUUGCGAUAAGUAAUGUGAAUUGCAGAUUUCCAGUGAAUCAUCGAAUCUUUGAACGCAUCUUGCGCUCCUUGGUAUUCCGAGGAGCAUGCCUGUUUGAGUGUCAUUAAAUCAUCAACCAUCCUCUUCGUUUCAAGGAGGGAUGGAUUGGACUUGGGGGUUGUUGGCAGCCAUGUCAGCUCUCCUUAAACGUAUUAGCGAUCGAGUUGGCUAGUCUUUCGGCGCACACGGCUUCGGACGUGAUAAACAUUUAGAUCGUCCUGGCUGGAGCGUCAUUUCCUAGACUGUCCAAGUUAGAUGGCUUCUAACCAAAUCGACGGAUAGAGUCUCAUCACUAUGUGUGUCUAUGGAGCUUAGUUGCUAGACAGUCAUUAGGUUGGCUGGCAAAGACAAGCGAGAUAGAUCACUUGAGACGAGAACUAGAUCUGUUCGAAUUGAUUUCUAUCGAGUGAAAUAAAAACAAGGAAAGGAUAGUGAUCUGGUGAAAGUGAGUCCAUGGAGCUUAGCUACUAGGCAGUCAUUAGGUUGGCUGGCGAAGACGAGCGAGAUGAAUCCACGAUGCUAGCUUUGAUCUCUUGAUCUUCUUUGAUUUGUUUGAUUCG